CUUGUUGUCAUGGAGAUUCUAACACAAUGGGGCAGGUAGGAAGCCUGUCGCUUGGCAACGAGAGGCUGGAGGUACAGGAUUGGCUGCUGAGGUCUAAGGGAGCAGAAAGGAUGAUAAGGGAAGGUGGGAAAGUAGAGAAAUACCCUGGGGGGGACACAAAGGCACAGGAGAGAAGCAGAAGACAGGACCAGGGUGAAGAGAGAAAAAUAGAAACGAGAAGAGAGAACACACAACCUCCCUGGGGCUGGGUCACCAACUGUGUAUUUGCUUGGAUGCCCUCAGCAAAAACAACAAGGCAAAACAAACACAUGCUAAUAUAUUUUCAUAGCUGCAUUGACAUUGUAGCACAAAGAGUGGAGAUUUAGACAAAAAGAAGUUCCUAAAUAUCAGAGCGGGGAAAUUCUACGGGGGAGACUCUACUGCACAGUGGAAAGAUGACAGGCUUUAGAUAAAACACAUGGAUUUGACUCUCCACUCUACCCAGUCCUUGAAGUGUGGCCUUCUCAAGCGACAUAACCUCUUUGAGCUCUGGUUUCCUCAUCUUCAAAAUGGGAACAGCGACAUGUAUCUCACAAGGCUGCUGCAAGACUCAGUGCCAAUGUGAUGAGCACUGGCCGUAGUGGGAGCUCAGGAAGGGGUCAAUCACAUGGUUACAGUUGUUGGCCUUUUGUGACCAACUACCCACUGUUGUCUUAAUUACCAUGACUAUGACCAGAAUUGACAGCUGUGUGGUGGGGUAGAAAGAGCCCUGUUCCCAAUGUCCAAAGACCUGGCUUCCACCUGUACCAACACAGCCUACAGUCUGAGCCUCAGGCAAACUAUUAACCUUUCUUGUUUGACUUGCCCACCUAUGAAAUGGGUAUAAUAAUCUCUCCCUCAGAGUGUCAUCAGGAGGAUCAUGUUCAAUUAGGUUGGUCAAGAACCUAUCCCAAUCCUGAGCACCUGUGGAUGUCUUACAUGCUGGGCGCUCUGACUCCUAACACCAGACCUGCGUCUGCUCUCUGCAGUGGAGACCUAUAGGUCUGGGCUGGGGCCACUCUCAAUCCUUCUUCAAGGAAGGGAAGGGUUCCAUGGUGCCUGGGUGCCGUUCCUAGCACCCAAAUCACAUGUAACUAUGGCGAAGAGAGUGGAAGAGAGAACACAGAGGCAUGGAAGACAAAGCAAAGGCACAUCCUCCAGGUUCAUUUCCAAGUAAAUUAAUUUUGCCAAAGCAAUGACUUCUGUCACCAGGAGCAAAGACAGCAGGGGGAGACCUGACAAUAGUUACAGAAGCCCUAGGAAGGGGCAAACCUCCCAGAAGACAGCUCUGGCUCCAAAGAUGGACGAAAUGAGGCGUCCAGAACCAGACUUGAGGAUCCAACCCCAAAUCCUCCCCUUGCACAGAGCCCGAUGCGACCCAUGAACUGCGAGAUCACGAUCUGAGCCGAAGUCAGACGCUUAACUUACUGAGCUACCCAGGCACCCUGAGAACCUUCCUUCUUCUGGGGCUCCUCUUAGCUCCAGCCUUGGUUCCCUCCCAUACAGAUGGAUGGUAAAAGGCUCAUUCAAUGGUAAAAGGCUCUUAGGAAUGACUGUGGGCUCUCUGUCCCCAAGGGCCAUAAGAAUAAGGUGACCAGAAGCACAGAUGAGCUGCCCUGCUCCAGACCCUUCCCCUCUAGGGCAGAUAACUUAGCCUGAGCUGCCCCGUCAUUUGGAGCCCAGAACUUGGCCUGUGACUUCAGAACGCAGCCCCGAUUUCUGAGCACAGAACACUUCAUAAUAAACAGCAGGGAAAGUGAAGCCGAGAUGAGCCUACAUCUCAGAAUUGUUUCCAAAUAAAGUGUUAUUUUUUUCCUC